GUUGUUGCAUCAACAGUACAUUUACUAAAAUUGGCACAAUAUAGAGAAGAUUAGGAAGGCCCUUGCAUAAGGAUGUCACACAAAUUCUUGAAAGGUUUUAUAUUUCA
ensembl:snRNA U6 U6 spliceosomal RNA